AUCUAGCCCGGAUUGAACGGCGUGUCUGAGCUCUUUUUUGGCGGCGGCUUCGCCGCCGCCAAAAAAAGCGAGUAGUGAAAGCCGGUUACCAA
rnacentral:misc_RNA from 1 species